CCAGCAGCUGCGGUAAUUCCAGCUCCAAUAGCGUAUAUUAAAGUUGUUGCAGUUAAAAAGCUCGUAGUUGGAUUUCUGGCGAGGGGCAAUUGCGGCCGGCAUGGCAUGCAUGCGCCCCCUGCCAUCCUUCUGUUAACCCGGUAUGGCGUUUUUUCGCUGACCGGUGGCUCAGAUAUUUUACCUUGAGAAAAUUAGAGUGUUUCAGGCAGGCUAGGCCGGAAUACAUUAGCAUGGAAUAAUGGAAUAGGACUACGGUCUCUUUGUUGGUUUGAGGGACUGCAGUAAUGAUUAAUAGGGAUAGUUGGGGGCAUUAGUAUUUAAUUGUCAGAGGUGAAAUUCUCGGAUUUGUUAAAGACUAACUUAUGCGAAAGCAUUUGCCAAGGAUGUUUUCA
rnacentral:rRNA from 1 species